CAAAAUAUAGCUGUCGAAAAGAAAGCAUCCCCUCUCCUAUUUCCUCUAGGGAAAGAGUUUUAAUCCUGUGCACCUUCACUGCCCACGAGCCCUCUUUGGUUUCCUAAUUUUUCACUUUUUCUACCAAUCCCGCGGGGUCCGUCCUUCAAGUGUAUCUCUUCAAUUUCUGGCGUGGGCAUGCUAUGAAAUAAAGGGUCUUCUGGAAAUUUGUCUCAAGAGAUUACUUUUAAC
rnacentral:lncRNA from 1 species